AGGAAGUGAAAUUGGAUAAGAUAAGAAAGAUUUUGGGUUAUACAUAUAGAAAAGCAAAAGUAGAAAAGAAUGAAAAAAGAAUAGAGGGGGUUUCGAAUCCAAUCAAAAAACCUAUUUUGGUCUUAGUAUGGAUAAGAGAUCUUCCUAUGUUAUAUUAUUCCACUAUCCACCAUGAAUUGAUUUGAUAGAUGCAAUAUUCAUAAUAUUGAAUUGAUUCAGUAUUAUCAGAAUGCAAGUCCUCCCCUUGAAUUUACAGGAUACCCCUUUUUCCUCUCCAUGGGAUUACAUCCCGAGUUAUUGUGAAAAAAAUAAAUAAAUAAAGAGGUUAUGGAAGUAAAUAUUCUCGCAUUUAUUGCUACAGCAUUGUUCAUUCUAGUUCCUACUGCCUUUUUACUUAUUAUUUAUGUAAAAACAGCCAAUCAAAAUGAUUAAUUGGAAUUCCAAUUAAUCAUUGAAGAAAUGAAAAAGGGAUUAAAGAAAAUAAAAAAUCCAAGUCUUAAAUGAAAGGGUCUGGUUGGAAUCAUAAAGUGUGGUAGAAAGAACUACAUAUAGUUUUUUCUACCACACUUUAGAUUCUUUCUAUUAUAUUAUCUUGAAUCUACAUAGAAUCGAUUAGUAGAUUGAAAUAGUAGUCUAAUUCAACUUCUUUUUUCACUGCAUCCACUUAAUUUCAAUCAAGUCAAAAUCAAAAAAAUCGAAGAUAAUUCUUCAUUGAAAGAAUCCAAGGAGGGGGAGAAAAAUAAUACGAGAAUAGACUAGAAUAGAUUAUAGUAAAAGAAAAAAAGUAAAAGGAAAAAACCUACGAAUCUUUCAUGCUUAAAAAAGGUGCGAGAUGCUUCAAUCGAGAUCCUUCAAAAAAAAAGAACAUCAAAAAUUUUCUAAGAAUAAGAAAAUAGUAUAAAUGGAAAAUGUGCGAUAUAUUGUGAAUAGCUUCGUGUAAGAAAGUCUAAUUUUCUUAUUUUCUAAUUUUCUUAUGUAUAGAACUUUCUUUUUACUCAUAAUUUCUAGUAGAAUAGAAGUUAUGAAUUACUAUAAUCGCCCUUUCUAUUCUAUUAUACUGGAAUAGAACGACUCUUUCUUACUUUCUUAAAAGAGUUUCUUACAAGAGUGAAACAAAACUAAAGAAAGAGAGAAAAAAUAAAGUUUGGCAAAAUUAUUAAUGCAAAACGGUCAAUUAAAGAAAAGAGUUGAUACUACAAUUCGACUACUCAAUCAAUUGGUAGUAUCCCUAGAGUCCACUCCUCCCCCAUACUACUAGCGAAAGAGAAAAUGUAAAGACUACCAUUAAAGCAACCCAAGUGAGACUUACUAUAUCCAUGUAAAUUAUGUCUCCUAUUUCUAUGAAAGAAUUCUUCUACUAUUGAUCAAUAAUCAUAGUGGAAUCAAGGGUACAGAGUCAAAAGGCCAUUCUGCCCUAAGACUAUGGAUGAAUCCGUUAAAGGAAUUUACUCCUAACAAAUUCUUAUAUGAUUUCUGGUAGAAUUGGAGAGCAUUAAGUAGAAAUAUGAUACAUCGCUCUUUCCCUAAAAAAGAGUAGGGGAUGCUCUGAAUAGAAGACGCGGGAAUAGAGAGAUUUUUUCUUUCGUUUGUUACCUUUUUUAUAAGCAAAGGACGUAAGAAUACACCAUAAAAUUAGGAUAGAUAAAUAUUUAUUGGAUACCUAACUUACCCAUGUUUAUUUUUAUUUUUGACCUAAACCCUACUGCUGCCCCGCUUUCUAUCUUUCUAUGAAAGAGUAAGGAGGUCUUAUCCACAAUCCAAAAAUUGAUUUUUGAUCAGCCUAUUCAAUCUAAUUCUCGACAGAAUCAGUAGCCUUUACUUUAGUGUAUGUAGGUAGCAUAAGAUGUACGAAGUGUAUGUAGUAAGAUGUACGAUAAAGUGUAUGUAGUGAGAUGUACGAUGAAUAAAAUGUAUGAUAAUUAGGAAGUCUUUCUAUUUCUUCGCAAAGUCCCUUCUUCAAUCUUAGAUUGAAAAAAGAAUGCCCCUUAGGGACCUUUGGCUACGAAGAUUUCUGACAUCUUAGUCUCGUAGUUUUAAAUUCCCGAAUCGAAUCGAUUUAAAUUAAUAAAAGAAUAAGGAAACGCUACCUCAUCCCUAUUGGUAGCCGUUUGGGCCACUGCCCACAAAACAAACCCUAGUUUGAGGGUAGAACUAUGGUAUGGAUUCUCAAAAUCCAGUAUCGCCAAACCUAGUUACUCUCGUGCCCCAACUUAGGGGGGUACGAAUUUGUCGAGUUUGAUUAGUACUAUAAUCCUAAGUAUUUUAUUGAUCAGGCGGCACCCAGAUUUGAACUGGGGGUAAAGGAUUUGCAGUCCCCUGCCUUACCACUUGGCCAUGCCGCCAAAAAAUCCGAUCUAAAAUCGAGAAAAGAGCAAGUAUUCAUUCACAUUUUUUUACUAAUUACUAAAACCUUUUUUUCUUUUAUCUUGAAUCUAAUUCUACUUACUUUUUUAGAAUCUUUUUCAAAAAAUAGAUUUCUGCUUUUUUGGAUCCAGUUUCGCUUAUUCUCCUCGAUGGAUUCUAUCUUAAAACACACAUUGCUAACACUAGAAAACUUCCCGCUUCUUUCUAUUCUAUUGAGAUGACAAAGAAGAAAAGAAGAAAAAGUGGAUUUCCAGUCGCAGGCUGCAAAAUUCAGAACAAAUUAGAACCAUUAACUAUAAUAUAAUAAAAUUAGAAUAUAAUAAUAUAAUUAACUAUAAUAUAAUAAAAUAAAACUAUAAUAUAAUAAUAUAAUAAAUAUAAUAAUAUUAUUAUUAUUUUUUGAAUUGCAGUAGUGAACGACUCUUAAAUCGGUAUUCCCCCCCCCCCCCCCAUUAUUUUGAAUGGCAUAAUAAAAUAGAAUAAGAAUAAAUGUUUCCCUAAUCUGUAUAUAGGGAAACUCCAGGUCCGAACAGCAUUAUUAUCUACAGAUCCCCCUUAUGUGCAUAUUCCUAUUGGGAAUCGUGCUUUAAUUUUUCAUUGUAUUAAAUAUCUUGAAUAAAAAAAAGAGGGAAUUUGCUCUGAUAUAGAUUAUAGCCAGGCCUUCUUGGCCCACCUAAGUGCAAUUACGAUAAAAGAAAGGAUAUGUAGAUAGGUGGAUAACUAGACUGGCAAGUACUUAAAAAAUAAAGUACUUUAUCUUUAUUUUAGGAUUCUACAACGAAAUCCUUUAUUUUCUAGCAAUUCUACUACUACGAAACAAAAAAGACCCUUCAAAUUAUUUUUGAAAAAGAAACUAAGCCUGCUAUUCUAAAUCGAACUAAAGUCAAACUUUCUAGUGCUUAUAAAUUCUUAUGGCUUUAUCCCUUUCAUACAUGUAAUUACAAUUUUUUUUUCUGAUAAUACAAAAUAUUGCUAGCAUUUACUUGUACGAAUCCUAUAGUAGUUAGCAAUCAGGAAAACAAAUAAUUUUAUAUAAUUUGAGGCUUGAUUAUUCUGCAGAGCAGAUGGUAGUAGUUCAUCUAAGAGCAUAUGCGUAUCUUGGUCCGCCAAUGCCAGGCCUAUUACCCACCAUUAGAAAAAAAAAAUCGUUAAUUAUUGAAACGUGACGCUGUCGUCCUCAUCAUGUUGCGCUCGAUCUUUUUCCCUCGAUGAGUUGCUAGCUACUUGCCUACUAGAGCCAAUGAAACGAUGAUCCAGUAAAAGACGUACGCGUUGCUUAUAUAAUAAUUAUUGUACUCCGUACUCAAAUGUGGCUCACAAGUAUAUGUUUACUCUUGUUUUAAUAUAUUAGUUGCCGUUGCCGUUGCCGCAAGCCCAUGAUGUAGUGGAGUUGGAGAGACAGUCUUCCGCGAAAUUGUAGUAGACUCGCACUAAUCAAAUCACAGAUGGAGAACCUGAGACCAGGUCUAGUUGGUAGUUGCUUCUAGAAAUAACUGGUUCUGACCAUAUCAUCAGAGUCUGAAGCAUUUCUCUUGCUCUUUCUUGCCAAUCGCCGGUUGCUAAGGCUGGGAAGCUCAAGCGACGCAAGGCAUGCCGUGCAGUUUCUGGCAGCAUGCCACCGUCCACGGCACCCUACAGAUACAGAGAUCCGAUUCGCCGAUCUACUUGCGGGGGCAAAGCAAGCGUCAGGUUUGGCUUAAAAUAAAACAUUGCACCGGGACGUGGCUUGGUCCUUCGCUUCUAGAUAUGGUUCGUGAUUCGUAGUACUGGUACUGACUCUGCCCUGCCCAUGCCAAAAGAAGCUCUUUUUUUUUCACAACGUCGGAGCAAGUACAUAUCUCUACAAAAGAUCUUGGAAAUUAACAGAUGUAUCAUCUUCAGGCUAGCGCAAAUCACGAACCGCAUCAGUCACAGUCCGUGCAUGAAUCCGGGCAAACAUGGGUCGACACAUAAAUUGUGUGGUCUGAAUCUCCUUCUUCUUCUCCAGUGGAGAUACUUGCAUGCAGGUGAUCGACCCGCAGAUAUUUUUCUUCGAUCUUGUCUCGAGGGAUCGCGACUGAUGGCGAGGCGCAAUGUUAAUUACACGUACGUAAUCAUUCGAGACUCGAUUGGCCGAUCGAUCCAUCAAUCCAUCCAUUCUUCCUCCGCAAGCGACUCUCGGAGGAGGAGGACGACGACGACGCCUCUCAUGAUCUCGCGCACUGUCACGCUGUGGACCGGUAGCAGUUACCGCCUUUUUUUUCCCACUCGCGAACGGCUCAUGCAUCAAAGCGUGCCGGCCGCCCGGGCCUAGUAACUAGUUAGGGUACAUCGCCAAGAAAAGAAGGAAACGAAAUUUGUUGCGAAGCGUAAUUUUGGUACUACUGGAGCUCAAAAUGGAACGUUACAAUGAGGUGGUUGAACCAUACUGUGUGCUGGCAAAAAAGGUUUCCCGUUUGUAUACACAGGCAAAAAGGAAAGAAAAAAAAAACAAACUCCAACAGCUCAUUCAAAAAUAUCGUUUAUAACCGGAAAUAAGUGUCAGCGCAAAAAAUUCUUGCCGUCCUUUUUUUCGUGUCGCCGCACCCUCUCCCGUGACCGAAAUCAAUGCCUAAUAAUUACCUUACCCGUCCCUGGGUGGCUGCCUUCUUCCAGUUCAAAAAUCCACCGUUGGAUUUGCAUACCCUACUGUACAAGGAAGGUACGUUAUAUACUUAUAUACGCUAGGCUAGUUACAUCGGCAGACGUCACGCAGCUGACCGCGGCCCGCAUCCGCUACGCCAACGCUGCGACGGGCACGGGCAGCGCGAUAAAAUCCGCCGCGGCCGCCUCCACCCACCUCGACGCUCGCUUCUCCAAAUCCCCCCUUCGCCUUGCGAGGGGGCGGAGGGGAGGUGGUAGUGGUAGGGUAUACAGGAGUGCUCUGCCCAUGGAGAAGGCGGGGCAACAACGCCAUGUUAUCGGCGGCGGCGGCAAGAAGGCGCCCGCGCUGGGGCUGCAGAAGCAGAACUCGUGGUCGCCGGACAUCGAGCGCGACGAGGCGUGGGAGCGCCGGCGCAGGGGCAUGCGCCGCGGGGGCACGGCGCUGCGCCGCGCCCGCAGCGUCACGGACGACGACCUCGACGAGCUCCGCGGCUGCAUCGACCUGGGCUUCGGCUUCGAGCCGGCGCACGCCGCCGCGUGCGCGUGCGCCUGCGCCUGCGCCGGGAGGAACCGCCUCCUGGAGACGCUGCCCGCGCUCGACCUCUACUACGCCGUCCACGGCGGGGCGGCGGAGGCGCCGCCGUGCUCGUGCGGCGCCGCGUCGGAGGCGUCCUCGUCCGAGGAGUCGCCGCUCGGCAGCCCCAUGUCCAUACUCUCUCCAGGUAGUCUCCGGCUGUCCAGGCAAUCUCCGCCCGUGAUUCUAGUUUCGAUCUCUGAUCCCUUUCCGUUCGUUCGUGCAGGCGACACGCCGGAGACGGUGAAGAUGCGGCUGAAGCAGUGGGCGCAGGUGGUUGCGCUGUCCAUGCUGAGCCGCCACUGAGCUCUCCGGGCCACGGCCGCCGCUACCUUGUCGCAUUGGGAGUAGAGAGAAAAAACCAUUCGAGAUGCACACAACAGCAGAAGGAAGGAAUCUCCGGCGGUCGCCUCAAGCAGAAAAAAGACGAAGAGAAAAAAAAAUCUGUUAGGGUUUGGUCAUUUGGUGGGCCGCCGCCGCCUUCCACCUUGCUCGUCCUAUCUUGGACUGCUAGCUAAUCAUCUUUCUUCCACCAUGAUUGUAUGAUUCCGUUGGAGACAAAACAUCAUGCCUAAUUACUUUGCUUGCUUAUUAAUCCUCUUGCUUCCCCCCUAAUCCAUAUUAGUUUCUCAUCUUCGUGUAUGUACAUGGUUCCUUUCAAGAGGCAGAUUAAUUUCCAUCAUCUCAAAUGAUUAGCGGGGCACUUCCUUCUCGAUCUACUACUAUACCUAUACUUGAGAUGACGACGAUUGUUGAAUACGCACGGAUGUCUCUCUCUCUCUCUCUCUCUCUCUCUCUCUCUUAGAUCCUUUUUCAGUUCAUCAACUCUGUUGAAACCUGUGCUCAAUCAAGAGUUGAGACUUAAUACAUGUCGUCAAUCCAGAGUCUUGCAGAUCAAGGGCAAGGAGACGAAUUUUUCAACAAAACCAACAGCGGUGGAAAUAAAUUCCGUGUGGUUGGAUCGGUUGGGAGAGAGCUGUCUUGGUUCUGCUUCUGCAGAUGAAAGACGAGCUCUUUUUUUUAAGGCUCUGUUAGUUUAGUCCAGAUUGGAGGCAGGAACCAUUCCAACUCAUCAAGCUAAUACAAAUUUGUGAACUAUUCCAAUCCGGAACCAAUCCAGUAAAGCAUUCCGGAAGAACCGAACGGGCACUUAAUCAAAACCAAAACCAGCACAGGUGCGAAGAAAUUCCGCGUGGUGGAUCGGUUGGGAAAAUCGGCUUGGUUGUUGACGCAGCUGCAGCAUCCCUAUGCAGCGCGUUGCAGAGAAUUGAGUCGUUUGUUACGAGUGAGUGAGGCGACAGGCUGUGGUCCGUCUGGACGAAUGGAAAAGAGAAGAAGAUGGCGUCUGUAGUUUGGCUGUCCGUUUCUGUCGUUUCGGCACAGCGAAGGAGCGAAGCUGUAUCUUAGCUGCUAGUAUAUUGGGCGCUCGUCUGCUGCCCAUGUCACGUUGAGGUUGAGCUGCUGCCGACUGCAACAUGGCAGGCAGGGGUGUGGGGCCGUGCGCACGGCCGCACCACGGUCGCCACUGGCCAGUGGCCAGUAACGCACGCACAUUGUUCGUGCUCGGUCCCGUCCGCUAACCACUUCAGCCUCUUUUGAGCCGGGCCGGAGUCCAUUCAGUGCUGCGCGCCGUGCAGUGCAGGUCGCGGUUUUCUCUUCAAUGGCAGAUGACAUUGGCAAUUGCAAGCAGUGCCGCGAUGCUGGGUGCAGUCUGUUGAACUGCACUGCUUUGGCCCUGGUCCAGCACCUGCCUAACAAUCAACUAUAGUAAAGAAGGACAGACGACAAUGUGGUUAGAGCGCUAAAUGCGGUCUUUGUCUUGCAUAAUUCAGAGCAACCUCGAGCCAGCGCUGUCAAUGGGGGCUGGAGGAGCGAUGUCUCCUCUGUAGUCUGGUACCCGAGGCGUACGGCGUCUUCGGUUUGUGUUGUCUGCACCGUACCGGAAUGCAGCAGGCGUCUUCAGGACCGAUUCCACGAGCGCCGUGAGAUGCCUUCAGUUCAGGGUUCUUCGAUGCGUUACACGGGCCAAGACGGCCAACUGGUCUGACAGAUUCCUCCGACACUGCACGUGUCUACACGGCGAGUGCCUGUCAAUUGCGAUUAGGACGGCCACGGCCACGACAGCGAACAUGGCACGCCUGCGUGUCCCACCGCUGGCCAGCCGAACCACUACGCGAGCAGAGCUCCCGGCCAAGCAGGCCACACGGAGCUCACAGGGACCAUGCAUACGUCUGUACCGUCGUAUGAUUGAAGGCACUCGCUGAUUCCCUUCCAAUCAAGCACAACAAAAGCGACGCGACCGGCGAGCACCACCGACGAUGCCCGGAAUGGACUUGCAGGCUCACCUGCCAAUACCUUGCCGAUUUCUGGUUGCAAAAUCUGGGUGGCAAACCAAACAUCCCCAACUGUAAGCGUACAACAACGUAUUCCUUUCGUAAGCAAUCUCUACAAGUUUGGGCACAGCGGACAUCUGCAGUUCUGAAGUUUACAUCACAAAUUGGUUUUCCGUUUUCCAAAGCACAAGGACUGAUGAUACAGUUAUACCCUAUAUCACCAAACCAGAAAGCCUAAAGAAGCAAUAUACUCUCUCCGUCCCAAAAUAAGUCUUCAUCUCGCAUUAUAAGUCAAACAAUCUAAACUUUCUUUCUACAUACAAACUCCUCUAUUCGCCCGAACUUUCUUUCUUUCCUUUCCUUUUCUUUUCUUUUUUUGUUGUUGCAAAUGGGCAAAACCUAUGAAGUGGAAAUCACAGGCAAUCUAUCCGCCUACGAGACUGAAGCUCCGGAUUAAUGGCUGUGUCAACCACGGCAACUCUGGCCAUUGUGUGUUCACCUUCACCUACCACAUAUAUACUGCUAAGGUACAGCCGUACGGGUCUACAGCUCACCAUGGACCUGUCAAUGUCCUCCGCAGACAAAUUCUCUUUGCCGUUGGCCCAACUUGCCGUCUCAUCCUCUCCAGGACCUGCAGCAACCACCAAAACAUUGUUAUGUUUGAGCAAACUGGAAGUGAGGUGGUAUGUUUUUCUGCUCAGAACUAGGGGACCUUUUUUCGUUUUUUUUAGCAAAACACAAUCAUUUAAAUUGAAAAUUUCAAGAGUAUUUUUUUAAAAAAAAACUUGCAAGAGUCAGAACAUGAAGUUCUAUACAAAACAAUUAAAUACUGGUGGUUUACAUGCAUAGAAAACAAAGGCUACCUCCGUAAACUUUUCCUCCAGAUGAGUUUUCACUGUAUUUUUUCAUUCAACUAAAAUUUAACUGUGACACUUUACUACGCAUAAUUUUUUGAUGAAGCUAGAAAGUGACAGUUGACCAUCAAUCUUAUUGGUUUCAUUUCUCAUAACAUCAGCACACCACGAUAGUUUAUCCUACACAAACACUUUUUAACAUUUGGUGGUAAAACAGGGGCUGCAUAUUUUCUUGGCCGUUCUCAGUUUUAUUAGACCAACAUAAGAUCACAGAUAGGCUGCUUCUAUUAACAUAGUGGGAAGAGCUUGAGUAAAACAUUGAUAAAAACAUAGGUAACCUUAUAAUACAGUAUUAGUAUCAAGAGGCAAACUGCAUACAGAAAAGCAGACAGCAUGACAACAACAGUUGUGGAAGUUGGCCAAUCAUUUCAGAGAAAUUCGAAAUCAUUUAACCAGCUUAAAUGCUACCACCUAGCCCCAGUUGUAAGAAAACACAAUUAACCACAUCCACACCUCUUGGCCUUAAUCGUUUUCCAGUUUCUCUACAGGUUUACUUCACAUAUAAGGUAUUGCUUGAGUCAAAUUUAUGGGCAUGAUAGACUUAUAGUUUGAACUCAAGUCUCUGGGUAUCAGUAGCUGCCAAUGGACAAUGACAUUUCUCGUGCCAACAAGUCACGGAAACCACAAAUUCAGAAAAACUUCUAUUUUUCAGUAAUAAUUGUUGAGGUUUCAAACCAUCCAUUGCCAACCAAGUACACACAAAGAGCCAAAGUGAUAUGAUCGUAGAGCUAUACGAUACUCAUGAUGUUGAUAAGGUUGACUGUAAUACUUCAUGACAAGGGAAUCCACAGAUUAUAGAAUUCCUUUUGUAGAAAACAAUUUCCUUCACACCAACCAAGUUCGCUGCCAGUAAUAAACCAAAAGAGAGUAUAGCAUGUAACCGAAGCAAAAGCAGCUUCUUCAAAAUGGGAAGUGAUUACCUCAUUCUUUUGCUUCUCCAACAUUUCAACCUGCAAAUUAGAAAAGAUAGUCAUUUACUAAACAACAGCAGAUAUAAAGAAUGCGAUCUCACUACACAAAGAACUUAGUCAUACAAGGCUGCAAAGCUGACAUGUUCUAGUUCAUCAGAAAUAUUUCUGACAAUAAGCUAUAUUGUCAUAAAUCAGAAUCCAAGAAGCAACUAUUCACAAAUGGAAGUUACAGCAGUUCCUUGUCUGAUAAACUAAUUUAAGAAGAAAAGGACAACUCUUAUGAACUACUCCAUAGUGCCUUUUAUCUGAUGGACACUAAAGAUCUAUGGUUCAGUUAUCUGAUGGACGUCGACUGCAUUUCACUUUGUCAAAUGCUCUAUGGUGAUUAACAUUAGAUCAUCGUCACAAAGAAGCUCCAUAGUGCCUUUUUGCUAAAAAAAACUAAAUGCACUGUGAUGAUUGACAAAAAUGUAAAAAAAAAUGAUAGACUUUUGAAAACCUAAUAAAGUAAACAAUGUACAAGUAUUGAUGAAAAAGAUGUAAGAAUGUGCUAAAGUACAAAAGGUUCUCUGGAAUUCCAAAGGGUCUCAAAUUCAGGUAUGAAUACUAACAAACUAUUUGAAUUUCACUAUUUCAGAAGAAACACUUUCAUAAGUUAAUGCGACCCAAGAAACAAAAAUGCAAACAUUGUAUAAGCAUACCUGCUUUUUCUGCAAUUCAUCAUUCAGCUCUUUAAGUUUUGCCACUUCAGCUUCCAGCUCCAUCAUAUAUGCCUGCCAAGUAUUACAAAGUACAAAUAUGUCCACGUAAGAUCGUCAGUAGUUUAGGAAGCCUGAGAGAGGAGACUAGAUUCAUUUAGAAAUAGCUUUCAUUUAGAUUCCGGCAUCAUGGAUGUCCAAGAAAUCCGCAGUUCAUAUUAGUAUUUUGCGAGAGGGAGGAAGAGAGAUUAAUAGACAUGCUCCUUUCGUCCUAAAAUAGUUUUCACUGAUAUUUGUGUUGGUGGAAACUUUAGCAAAUUUGAAUAGAUUUAUAAAAGAUAUUAACAAGAGUUGUAUCUUUCGAUGAGUUUAUUAUAAAAAUAGAUUCAAAGAUCUCUCUAAUGAGACUAAUUAUGUAUAAUAAAUAUUAAUAUAUUUUUAUGAAUUUGAUCAAAGUUAAAAAAUAGUCAACUUUUCAGAAAACGAGAACAAUAGCUAUUUCAGGACAAAGGGAGUACUUAUAAUUGAUUAGGUGGUCUGAGUAGCACUCCUCAGGUCCUGGGUUCGACUCCCCGUGGGAGCGAAUUUUAGGCUGUGGUUAAAAAAAUCCCCUCGUUUGUCCCACGCCAAAGCACAGGUAAGGCUCAGCCUCGGUCGUGGUCGUUUCUCACAUGGGCUUCGAUGCCGCUGUGUAUGGGUGGGGCAGGGGUUCGGGGAUUUUCUCGACCUGUGUGAGAAGGUCUUCUUCUUAAUACAAUGCCCGGGGGCUGUCUUACCCCCGCAGGUCGAGUUUUUUUUUUAUAAUUGAUAAGUUCAUAUGCUUACACUACCCAUGUCGAAUAAUUAUAGACGCUGCAUAACUAUACAGUAUACGCACUACUAAUGCACAUAUUCUAGUUUAUUUCAAGCAAAUUUGAUGCAAAAAAAGAGUUGUCAUGGUGAGAAUUUGUGGAUUUUUCUGGAAUGUGGAAAACAUACAGCACUCUCUCUACACCACACACACUUCUAGUAUAUGUGUACACGUUAAUGGGCCAACACUAGACACAUGGCCCAACACUCCCCCUCAAGAUGGGCGAUAGAUAUCAAUCAUCCCCAUCUUGCUACAUAACACAUCACACUCUUUUACUCCUAUACCCUUAGUCAAGCAAUCUGCUAUUUGACCUUUUGAGUUUACAUGAUUCAACUCUAAAGUACCAUUAUCUAACUUCUCUUUGAUGAAGAAUCGAUCAAUUUCCACAUGUUUUGUUCUAUCAUGUUGAACUGGAUUGUUAGCUAUAUUCAUGGCUGACUUAUUAUCACACCAUAACUUCAGGGAGUCUUUUCUUAAUACAUUCAACUCUGAUAAGAGACCCUUUAUCCAUAGCAUCUCACAUAUCGCAAGGGCCAUAGCUCGGUAUUCUGCUUCGGCGGUGGAACGGGAUACCACAGAUUGUUUCUUGCUUCUCCAUGAUACUAAAUUUCCUCCAACAAACACACAAUAUCCUGAAGUUGACCUUCUAUCAUCAAGGCAACUACCCCAGUCUGCAUCAGAGUAACCUUCCACCUUUAGAUGACCAUGACCUUUAAAGAUUAUUCCCUUUCCAGGACAAGUCUUCAAGUAUCGCAGUAUACGAUACACUGCAUCAAGAUGUCCACUUCUGGGGUCAUGCAUAUAUCGACUCACCACACUGACUGCAUAUGUGAUAUCAGGUCUUGUAUGGCACAAGUAGAUGAGCCGUCCAACAAGUCUUUGAUACCUUUCUUUAUUCACAGGAUCACCAGAUUCAGCACAUAAUUUAUGAUUCAAGUCGAUAGGUGUUGCUACAGGCCGACACCCCAACAUACCUGUUUCAUCAAGUAGAUCUAAAACAUAUUUCCUUUGGGAGAGAACUAUUCCUUUUGGAGAUCGAGCAAUCUCAAUACCAAGAAAGUAUUUGAGAUGACCAAGAUCUUUAACCUCAAAUUCCUUACUUAGAUUCUUCUUUAG
rnacentral:lncRNA from 1 species